GGACCUGGGUUCGAUUCCGGUCAAGGGCAUGUACCUUGUCGCUCUGCUUCCUUAAAAACCAAGAUGAGUCAUACUCCAGUUGAGCAGUCCAUGAUGGACUUGGUCAUCCUGUUCCACAAAUACAUCAAACCUUGAUGACAAGAUUGACAAGCAUGGCCUGCUAAAGAUGGUGGAGAGUCGUGUAGGGCAAGAGGGUA